UAAAAUACAGCAUUUUAGAACAUAAUUCAAAAUGGCCGACGGCCAAAAUGGUGGACUUGGGAAAACUGGGUGUCAUAGGGUUCAUAACUUUUUGCCAGCAUGGUCUGAAGAUGAUCUGGUUAAAUUUUCGUGACAAUCCGUUCAACGGCCUAGGACGAGUAGUUUUCUAGAAAAAGUAGUUUUUACGAACAAUUGAAAAUAGUGAAAAAACUAACCUUUUAUUUUAAUUUUGGUGUCCUUUUGACUCAGCAUAAGCCAAGGAAUCAAAGAAUUUUAAUUUUGUGGCUUACGAUUCAAAAGUUAUUAUCAUCAAAUUUUUGAAAGUUUAGACAAGUGGUGGUGCUAGAGAGUUUGAGUUAGAGACCCCAAAUUUGCUAUGGUAACUUUUUCUCAAUGUCCUCUAUCAUUGGGCCAAAUUUCACAACUUUCCCGCAAGCGGUUCUAUGGGCUGCCCUACAUCGAUUUGACGCAGCUGCCAUUUUGAAAUUGAAAGCAAGGCUCCGGUUGGAAGAAACCCAGAAGUUUCAUCACUUUCCGAGUGACCCAAAAGUCUGCCGUGAAUGGAUUGUAAAAAUAAGAAGAGAUGUUGGACCUUACUUUCAGGUAAGUGAAAUAACGUUACCUUUAUUAAUCUAGCUAGCGCUAGCUCUCCAAGCGAAACGUUUUACUCAGUUAUCAAACGCAUGUCAGUGUACUGAUUCUCCCAUAGUUACAGACAACACUAGAGUAUGCUCCAAACAUUUUACCCUGGACUGCAUUGUACGAUCGCUCACUGGUUUACAUAGACUGUAACAUAGAAGCGUGCCAACUUUGUUUACGUGGAGCUGUGAACUGAAGCCCAGGAGGACACUUGAGCAACAUCAGAGUGUAAAUGAUAUUGAAACAUUAGAGGAGGAUAAAGAGGAGGACCAUUCAUUUUCUGAUCAGAACACAGGAGAACAAUCUAACUGUGGUUUUGGGGCACUGCAAGACCAUGAUUACAUGGAAACAUCCACAGAAGAGCAGCUGAAUGCAGCACAGAAGGAGAUUGCUCGUCUGACAAAAGAAAAUGAAAAUUUGAAAAGUCAGCAGUUUUGUCUACAAAGAUUCCAAUGUGAGCCCAAGCUGAUCAAGUUUUACACCGGAUUUAAAGAUUAUGAAACCCUCAAAGCACUCUACCAGUCUCUAGCAGUCUCUGGUGAGAUGGACUCAAAUGCAAAGACUUAAUAAAACAGAAAAGACUGUAACUGCUGGCUUUCAGGCUCAAGACAUCGGUCUCUUUGACCAGUUUUUCUUGUUUCUCUGCCGUAUGAGGCAGGGGCUUCU